rnacentral:tRNA from 1 species
GGGUCCAUAACCCGCAGGAGGCUUAUUGGCGACCAGCUAACUUUUAAUCAGUAGGUCGCUGGUUCGAACCCAGCUGGACUCACCA